rnacentral:rRNA from 1 species
UUGGUGAGGUAAUGGCUCACCAAGGCUACGAUCCGUAACUGGUCUGAGAGGAUGAUCAGUCACACUGGAACUGAGACACGGUCCAGACUCCUACGGGAGGCAGCAGUGGGGAAUAUUGGACAAUGGGCGAAAGCCUGAUCCAGCCAUGCCGCGUGUGUGAAGAAGGUCUUCGGAUUGUAAAGCACUUUAAGUUGGGAGGAAGGGCAUUAACCUAAUACGUUAGUGUUUUGACGUUACCGACAGAAUAAGCACCGGCUAACUCUGUGCCAGCAGCCGCGGUAAUACAGAGGGUGCAAGCGUUAAUCGGAAUUACUGGGCGUAAAGCGCGCGUAGGUGGUUUGUUAAGUUGAAUGUGAAAUCCCCGGGCUCAACCUGGGAACUGCAUCCAAAACUGGCAAGCUAGAGUAUGGUAGAGGGUAGUGGAAUUUCCUGUGUAGCGGUGAAAUGCGUAGAUGCCUNUNAAGGAANACGANUGGGCGAAAGCGGCCUNUCUGGACUGACACUGUACACUGAGGNGCGAAAGCGUGGGUAGCAAAGGGGANNAGNUNCCCUGGUAGUCCACGCCGUNAACGANGUCAANAANAAGNAAGAGNGUCCCUUGAGGACUNUNAGUGGCGCAGCUAACGCAAUAAGUUGACCGCCUGGGGAGUACGGCCGCAAGGUUAAAACUCAAAUGAAUUGACGGGGGCCCGCACAAGCGGUGGAGCAUGUGGUUUAAUUCGAUGCAACGCGAAGAACCUUACCUANCCCUUGACAUCCAGANGGACUUUCCAGAGAUGGAUUGGUGCCUUCGGGAACNUCUGAGACAGGUGCUGCAUGGCUGUCGUCAGCUCGUGUUGUGAAAUGUUGGGUUAAGUCCCGUAACGAGCGCAACCCCUAUCCUUAUUUGCCAGCGANGUAAUNGUCGGGAACUCUAAGGAGACUGCCGGUGACAAACCGGAGGAAGGUGGGGACGACGUCAAGUCAUCAUGGCCCUUACGGNGUAGGGCUACACACGUGCUACAAUGGUAGGUACAGAGGGCAGCUACANCCGCGAGGUGGAGCUAAUCCCAUAAAACCGAUCGUAGUCCGGAUCGCAGUCUGCAACUCGACUGCGUGAAGUCGGAAUC